rnacentral:rRNA from 1 species
CAGCAGCCGCGGGAAUACGUAGGUCCCGAGCGUUGUCCGGAUUUAUUGGGCAUAAAGCGAGCGCAGGCGGUUAGAUAAGUCUGAAGUUAAAGGCCGUGGCUUAACCAUAGUACGCUUUGGAAACUGUUUAACUUGAGUGCAAGAGGGGAGAGUGGAAUUCCAUGUGUAGCGGUGAAAUGCGUAGAUAUAUGGAGGAACACCGGUGGCGAAAGCGGCUCUCUGGCUUGUAACUGACGCUGAGGCUCGAAAGCGUGGGGAGCAGACAGGAUUAGAUACCCGCGUAGUCCCUGUCUCUUAUACA